rnacentral:tRNA from 1 species
CGUUGGUUUGGAGUAGCUGGAUCUGCUCUCGGGCUUUUGGCUUGGUGGUAUGUACCUCAUUGGGUAGAGCCAGGUUCAACCUGGGGCUAUUGGC